UCGAAUCCUUAGGAUGUUGCUGGCCUCUCGGGGCAUCGUGCACUCCGCCUUUUCAUCUCACCUGUGCACUUAUUGUAGGCCGGACUUGUAAUGAGUCUGUGUCUAUGUUUUUAAUACACACCUUUAUAAAAAGUCUAUAGAAUGUCUUUGUUAAGUAGACCUUUACUGGUCGAAAAAUAAAAUA
rnacentral:misc_RNA from 1 species